AUACUUACCUGGCAGGGGCGAUACCAUGAUCAUGAUGGUGGUUCACAACAAGCAAGGCUCUGCCAUUGCACUUCAGAUGCACUAACCUUUGUGAAUUCCCAAAAUGCGGGAAUCUCGACUGCAUGAUUUCUGGCAGGGGCAGUUGUGGGCUGGAGGUUAGGGAACCAGCCUU
ensembl:snRNA U1 U1 spliceosomal RNA